AAAGAGAUUCAAUUUUUUAAGCCCAUCCUUUAAAGACUGUGUACAGAUGCUAUGCAGCCACGAGAGGGAGUAAGAGUACCAAAGAAAACGAUUUGGAAUUUAAGCAGCAGUUAUAUCUCCAGAUAAACACAACAGCAUUCAGGUGAUAUAAACACAUAAAAUAUAAAGAGGAAGAAAAGGGGGAUUUAGCUCAGAAGGUGGCAGUUAAGCAAGUGUGCUUCUCCUUGUAGAGCCUACCGAGAGACUCCCAUUGUCUGCAGCGGCACUGGGCUUUCAGGAUGGCAAUUGGAGUCAAUGAGAAUUAUGCUCAGAAUUAAGUGUUCUAUGGUGAGUAAAGUGCCAUAAAACAACUCUGUAUAUUAAAAGCUGGGGCCUGUCAUUUCAAGUCAGGAUUUAACAAACAAGGAGAAAGCACUGAUGUGAAUAUUUGUAUCCUCAUCCAUAGAAGAAGAAGAGUGAAGAUGUCAUAAGAUUCAUGUCAUAAGGAUAAUAUCAGGUCAAAUCCACAUUGAAAGCAUUUGUGUACUAUCCUGAUGGAACCACACACAAAUCCAUCAUGAAAUGACUGAUUUGUUUCCCAUGACUGAAAG
rnacentral:lncRNA from 1 species